UACGGAGGAUGCAAGCGUUAUCCGGAAUGAUUGGGCGUAAAGCGUCCGCAGGUGGCUGUGUAAGUCUGCUGUCAAAGAGCGAAGCUCAACUUCGUAAAGGCAGUGGAAACUACACGGCUAGAGUGCGUUCGGGGCAGAGGGAAUUCCUGGUGUAGCGGUGAAAUGCGUAGAGAUCAGGAAGAACACCGGUGGCGAAGGCGCUCUGGGCCGAUACUGACGCUGAGGAGCGAAAGCGUGGGGAGCGAACAGG
rnacentral:rRNA from 1 species